GAUCAUGGCUCAGAUUGAACGCUGGCGGCAGGCUUAACACAUGCAAGUCGAGCGGGGAAGAGUAGCUUGCUACUUAACCUAGCGGCGGACGGGUGAGUAAUGCUUAGGAAUCUGCCUAUUAGUGGGGGACAACAUCUCGAAAGGGAUGCUAAUACCGCAUACGUCCUACGGGAGAAAGCAGGGGACCUUCGGGCCUUGCGCUAAUAGAUGAGCCUAAGUCGGAUUAGCUAGUUGGUGGGGUAAACGG
rnacentral:rRNA from 1 species